GACGAACGCUGGCGGCGUGCCUAAUACAUGCAAGUGGGACGCAAGGAAACACACUGUGCUUGCACACCGUGUUUUCUUGAGUCGCGAACGGGUGAGUAACGCGUAGGUAACCUGCCUAUUAGCGGGGGAUAACUAUUGGAAACGAUAGCUAAUACCGCAUAAUAUUAAUUAUUGCAUGAUAAUUGAUUGAAAGAUGCAAGCGCAUCACUAGUAGAUGGACCUGCGUUGUAUUAGCUAGUUGGUAAGGUAAGAGCUUACCAAGGCGACGAUACAUAGCCGACCUGAGAGGGUGAUCGGCCACACUGGGACUGAGACACGGCCCAGACUCCUACGGGGGGCAGCAGUAGGGAAUCUUCGGCAAUGGACGAAAGUCUGACCGAGCAACGCCGCGUGAGUGAAGAAGGUUUUCGGAUCGUAAAGCUCUGUUGUAAGUCAAGAACGUGUGUGAGAGUGGAAAGUUCACACAGUGACGGUAGCUUACCAGAAAGGGACGGCUAACUACGUG
rnacentral:rRNA from 1 species